rnacentral:lncRNA from 1 species
UUCUUUCUUUCUUUUUUCUUUUUUUCCUGUUUUGUGCGUCGCUCUGCAUGGUACUGUAAGCUUCAAUAUCUUGAGUGUCCUUCUGUCUCCGCACCUAUGAGACCCGCACACAGGUACUCUUCCCCAGGCCGCUCCGAUUCUGCGUGUUAGUGGUUUAUGUUUUUAGAGGAAAUAUUUUUGUUGAGGCCAAAACUCCUGUUCCGUUCCAUCGAUUGCACCGUGCAUGUUUCUGUAUAAGGUGGGUUCUCUGGGCAGCCUGCCUCUCAUGCUUUUAAAUCCUUUCGGUAGAAAUCCUAUAAGAGAUACACCCAGAACUCAGUGCCCAGGGUCCUUUUCUGCUGAAGUGAGGCACCACUUCCUCUGCACAGAGACCAGCCUCCAGGAGCCCUGUGUCCCUCAGGCAGGGGGACCUCUGAGACAGACACUGGUCCCUACAGAGCUGCAAGUGACAAGAGCAGUUUGUCUACUCUGGGUACUGCUGGGAGAAAUGUUUGGAAAUGUCUGGGGCGGGUUCUUCCCAUUCCAGGCUAUAGCACCCAGGAUGCAGGCAGCCUGCUGUAGCUGCAAGGAGGAGGGCAGGGACCCCAGCAGGGCCUCCAGCCACCCCGUGGCCCCCCUCCUGUAUCAAGCACCCAGCCCUCCUCUUUUUCUGAAAGGGAUCUCACAUCUUCAGCAUAGCCUCAGUAUAUCUUCGGAGGAAUCUGCUGUCCCCAACA